UUGUUAGCCAGGAUGGUCUCGAUCUCCUGACCUCAUGGUCCACCCGCCUCAGCCUCCCAAAGUGCUGGGAUUACAGGCGUGAGCCACCGCGCCCGGCCUAGAUCUUUUAUUUAGACGAUGAGAAAAUUUAAACUAUAAAUAGGCCAGGUCUGGUGGCUUAUGCCUGGAAUCCCAGCAUUUUGGGAGGCUGAGGUGGGAGGCUCACUGGAGGCCAGGAGUUCAAAACCAGCCUGAGCAACAUAGGGAGACCUCAGCUCUACAACUGAAAAAAAAAUAGCCAGGUGUGUUCAUGGUGGCACCUGUCUGUAUUCCAGCCACUUGGGAGGCUGAGGCAGGAGGUUUGCUUGAGUCCAGGAGUUUGAGGUUGCGGUGAGCUACACAAUGAGCUAUGGUGGCACUACUACACUCCAGCCUGGGCCAUAGAGUAAGGCCCUGUCUCUAACUGGAAGUCCAAAGAGGGAUCUACUUCCUAGACUAUUAAUUUAAUAGAUCAAUAAAUUAAUCAAGAAUAUGAUUUUUUUCUCAUCUUUCUCUGUAGUCAUAUUUUAUACAGACUUUUUGUUUAAGUAAUCUCUCUUUAUGGGCAGACAAUGAUUUCAGAAACACCACAAAUUAUUCUCAAAGAGAAAAGAUGAGGAUUUUUUUUUUUUUUUAGAAAAUGUAACUCUUUUCAGUAGCUCUUGGCAGACCUACCUUCACAUUUUCUUGACUAAAAACAGUCAUUAAAAAAAGUCAGUCACAAACAGGUGAAUUUAAAUUAUCAUGGUUUACCUAUGCUUAACAAGCUUUAUCCUCAGAGGUAAGGAUAGGGUUACUUUCCUGAAUUUUAGAUAUGUGGAAAUAUUUGGAGUUAUGUCAAUAAAUGAAAAAGUGUGAUGGAUAUAGUGCUUGCCAUGGAAUAUACCAAAUACAGAUAUUCUGAAAACUUUAAGUUCAGUAAUAUGCCAGGGGUUCCCAAGACCACUUGAGACCUGGUAAUUUAUUGGAAGUCUCUAAGGGAAUCAGAAGCUGUAGUACUCAUUGUUACAGUAUAUUACAGUAAAAACAGUACAGAUAGAAGUCAGCUAAGAGAAAAGACAAAUGAAGUGAACUCCAGGAGAAACCAAGUCCAAGCUCUCAGGUGUCCCCUCCCAGAGCAGUUGCAUGGGGACAUGUUUAAUUAUCCCAGCAACAAUAUGUAAAGUACAAAGCAUUGCCAACCAGGAACACUCGCUGGAGUCUAGUUGUCGAAGGUGUUUACUGGGAUCAGUCACAUAGUCAUGUAAUGCCCAUAUGAUUGACCUCAGCUCCAUGACAUUUAAGCACAACUUUCUUCCUACACCCAGAGUAAAAACAGAUGUUCACAUAAGUCACGUUGAUAACAUAACCUUUUCUGGUCCAACUGGGAGAGUAUGGCCCAAGACUUUAGGAAAACAAGAACACUUUUAUCAAGCAAAAUACUCCAAGGGCUCAGAGAUGAACUCCUAGUCUAAGGUCUAGUCCUGCAGAGGGACCCCUCUUUGGAAUGUAUAGUAUUUGAGUAAUUCAGGCCAGUCAAGUUAAACCUUUUCACCCAUGCCUAAAUGCUAUUUAAUAAAUGUAAAUAACAACGAUGAGAUAGUUUAUUAAACAUUUUUAUUGAAAUACACAAAUAGUAUAUAGUUAAUUAAUUUUAACAAAGUGAUUGUACAUAUUUCACAAUAAAAUUCCCUUAAAUUACCAUCUGCUCUAUCUGCAAGUAAUUAUUAUUCUGAUUGCUAAUAACAUAGACUUUUUUUAACCUAUUUUUGAACUUUUAUAAUAGAAUUAAACAAUAUAUAUUCUUUUCUGGAUGGCUUCUGUUACUCAGAAAUAUAUUUAGGAGAGUCAUCAAAGCUCUCUUGGGUAUACCAUUUAUCCUUCUUGCUUGAUAAUGCUCCAUGUAUGUAUAUAUAUGCUAUGAUGUGUUUAUUUUACUCUUGAUGGAUAACUGCAAAACUUCCAAUUUAAGCUGUUGUGAAUAAUUCUUUAAUAAAAAAUUUUGUACAUUUGCUGAAUAUGUUUAUGUGUUCCUGUUGGAUGAUAGUAGCAGAAUUAUUGGUCACAGGGUAUGCAUAUACUUAAUUUUAACAGAUAAGGUCAAAUACUUUCCAAAUUCAUUUUAACAAUUACAGUCAACCUGCAUUGUUUUAGAGCCCCGAUUGCAGGGUCAUUUUGGAUUAGUUUGUCUUUCUCUUAUUGAUUUUAAUGGAUAGUGUUAGGCUGUAAAUAAAGUUAUUUAUGCAUAGUAAGAACUUUCUCAACAAAUUUUACUCAGACUUCUGCUCUACGCUAAGAACUAGCUCUGGAAAUUAAUUCACAGAAAGAACAUGGUUAGGGGCCAUCCUGAGGGAUUUACCUCACUAGGGAUAUAUAUUUACAUUUCAAGAGAAGAUGAGACCCAGUAGAUGCAUCCCAGAAGUUACAAAGCUGGAGACUCUAGUGUUAUCUUUCCCCUAGAGUGAUUUAUUUUUAUCCAAAUGGUUAGAGUAAGAACUCAGAUUUUUUUCCAUUUUGUGACUAUGGAGACGCACUCAGAAGGGGGUCAGAGCAACUGGGUCACUCUUCCACAAAAAUGCUCAGGUUCUUUUUUCCAGAGUUCUUUGCCUACAGCAGAUCCCCUUACAUGUAGGACAUCUGGUUCUCACCACAUCACCACCACGGUAAGAAUUAGUGGAAAGGAGAGCUAGGUUAAGGGCAGCUGUUUCUUUCCUUCUCUGCAGCCUCUGGUACCAAGUACUGCAUGACAUGUGUCUCACAACAUUCCUGCCUCUGCACCUCUGUGCUACGACACUGGAUGAAUCUAUGGAGUGAGCAAUAGAAAGUCUCUGAACUGCCAGAAACAAAUUCAUUUUACAUGGAAGUGGCUUUAAAUCAAGCACAUUAACCUCAAUGAACUGAAAUUAAAUAUGUCUCUCUUCAACUUCCCCUUAGCUGAAUACUAAAAGUGCUGUAGGCUGGACCCGCACUACCUGACAGGGAGAUAAAUGACUAAAGGCAAAUGGGAGUCAAAACAGGCCUGGAAGUGGAAAUACCGUGACAUAAAAUAGAGGCACAGCAAAUUAUUCAAGAUGUCGACAAACAGCAUUGUUUCCAAGUUUUUGUUCCCUUACAAUCCUUGCCAUUGGCCAAUCUCUCAAAAUCCCGUGUUGCUUAACAUUUAGUAGCUUAGUAAAUAUUUUAAAUCUCAGAGAUUUUACCUAACUGAUACCAGGGUUUUUAAAAUUUGUUUAUAUAGAUUAAGCGUCUUUGAAGAAAUAACAGUAUGCAAAAAAUAUGGUUGCUAUUCUUCAUGUUAAAACUAUCUUAAACUCUUUUCCAGAGGAAAAAAUAACAAAAUAGAAACCAAGGAAGGUCUUUUGCUUGGUGAUUACAUAUAUUGAUUACCUGUGUAAGUUAAACAGAUUGGGAAAAGGAAAUAUCCAAAAUUGUGCCUAGAGUAUAUCAUGACAUCAUGUAUAUAUGUAAAUAAGUUAAUUUUUGCAAUCGCAACAUAGAGAAAAAUGUUAUUUUAAAUGAAUAAAAAUAAAUAGAACAUAAAGUAAUAUUUCAGCAUAUUAAAUUUAGGAGUAAAAACCUUUGACAUCCCUGAAAAUCUUUGGUAAAAAGUCCAGAUUAUGAUAACUUGGCUUUAAUGAACUAGGAAAUAGAUGGAUAAUAGCACACACAUUUUUAGCAUUGUAGGGAUUAUUUUCACUGGUUGUAGGAUCAACACACUUGGUUUAAAUAAUGGUUCUGAGAAUUUAAUUAAUUAAUUAAUUUAAUUCAUUUUUGUUAGGAAAAUAAAUUCAUUUCUAGACACAGGAUAUUUUACAAUUGGAUCGUAUUUCAAAAAAGAAUCACUGUGUUUUUAAUGAACAAAUGUCACAUAAAGAAGUCUUUUCAAAAAGUGCUUCAAAAACUUAAAUUUGAAAUAUAUGCAACGGAUCCACAAGGUAUCUAAUAAUUUUUAUUUUUACCAAGCUCAUGAGUAAGUUAGUUAGCCCUGAAACAGUUUCGGAGAAAAAAAAAAGUGUUUUAGUUUCUUCAUCUGUAAAAUAUUUAUGUUGCAAAUGAUUGAGCAAAUAUAUAAAUUUAAGCAGUUUGAUCCUAGAACUUGUUGUGUUUAAGAAUAUGGAUUAUUGAGAAGUACUUCACCAUAGUAUUUAUCACAUAGUAUGUCCUAAUUGAAGAUUAAGUAUGGUUGUAAUCAUAAUAAAGUAUUUUGAAAAUUCUUUUGAAAACUGUUUUAAUGAAUUAUAGAUUGAACACUGAGUUAAGAUGGAGUUAUCCAUGAUCUUUAAGACAGCAAAAUUAGGUCUUGAAGUUAAAAUUGAAAUGAAUAUAAUGCACAUAUAUUGAUUUUAUGUCGAUGUUUUAUAAUCAAAUCUGAUUAGAAAAAGGAAAUUGGUAUAAAGGUUCUCCACAUCUUCUCAGUCACCCUACUUCAUUUUCUAAGGGAAUUACAUUACGUACUUUUAUUUUAUUUCUUGUUAUAUAGCUGUAUCCUUUCCUUGAUUUCUUGGCUUGCUUCUGCUCUCUUCUGCUAUGCCUAUCCAUCAGUUUCCAGAGCUCAGAAAAACAGUUUUUAACAGCCUAAUAUAUGUAUUUGGCAAUUUCCUCCCAUAACUGUGAUUUAAUAUUCAUGGCCACAUAAAGGGUAUAAAAUAUUUUGCACUCGGUGUAUACACAUUUUCUUUAUAUCACUUUAUCUUUCAUCAAUAACUCAAUGGAAAUCCCGUUAAGAGAAUAUGAAUAGCUCUAGUUGGUAUUCAAUGUCUGCCUAACAUUUCAUGUUGACAAAUUAUCAUAAACUAUUCAAUAGAAGAAUUUUACUAACAAUAUAUCGUUAACAUUCUAAAAUAUUUUUGUAUAAUCUAGACUUUGGUGGGAACAAACCUUGGAACAAACUGGUUCCAAGGUUUCUUGGAGGGGAGUGGUGAAAAAGAAAUGGGGAAAUUUAUGUUUUUUGAAUUUGUCAACUUAUUGAGGAGGGGUAAGUAGAGAAAUUGACUAAUUUGCUAAGACAAUAGAAGGCAUCUUUAUUUCAAAUAGUACUUGAAAAUUAUGCAUCUAAUUGUGAGGUCAAAAAAUUGAAGAUACCCCUUAAUAAAGAAAUAAAGGAUAGAUCUUCCAAAAUAACAAGGAUGUAGUGGAAUGAAUAAAAAUGUAUCAAGUCAGCAGCAAUAAGGUAAAAAUAUUAGAAAAGUAAUGUUAAAUAGUUGUCAGAUGGAAGGAUAUAUUUGAGCAAAUAUUUUGUUAAAUA
rnacentral:lncRNA from 1 species